UUUGUCGAAAGUGCUACUCACUUGAAUUGUAAAGCUGUGGAUAACCUUUCACCUUAGGCUUAUCCCUCAAGGGAAUAAACCCCAAGGAAACAACCAAAAAGUACUUUGUAUAGACAAUGUGUUGAAUUUUAAAGGGCAUAUGACUGAGAGCAACUCAAGUCUUUAAGAAGAGAGUAAUAGCUAAACAAAUAAUCGCAAAACUUAUUAUAGAAAGUUGGAGUACUACAGAGUACUAGAAAUAAAAGCUUGGGCAUUCUUUUUACAAUUUUUAAGCUAAAAAAUUUUAAAUUAGCAUAUAGUUGAUUUAUAGUGUUGUGCCAAUUUCUGCUGUAUAGCUAAGUGACCCAGUUUUAUACACACAGACACACACACACACACACACAUUCUUUUUUAUAUUCUUUUCCAUCAUGGUGUAUCCCAGGAUAUUGGAUAUAGUUCUCUGUGCUACACAGUAGGACCCUGUUGCUUAUCCACUCUAAAUGUAAUAGUUUGCAGGUAUUAACUCCAAACCUCCCAGGGGUUUUCAGUGACUUCUUUUGGUCACUGAAAAGUACAUAACAGAUUGUUCAGAUGAAUAAUGUAGAACACAUAAUAGAAUAUUUGUACAGUUGUACCUGUAUCAAAUAUGUGUACUCCCAAGUGGAUUUAGAGAUGUGGAAAUAGUUUAUAAAUGAAUUUAGAGAAAAGAAAAUUGAGUUUAAACUCAUUGGGUUCUUUUAUGUAAAAUCAUUCUAAGACCAAAAUCUCUAAAGAAGAUGGGGGGGAUAAUGCAUUGAAGGUACUGGAUAAGGCUACUGGCCUUUUUUCCUCAUACGCUGCUUAGACUCUUAUUACUGUUUAAUACCUAUGCUUUGUCUUCCCUAACGUGGCCCAUUCACUAUGUUCCCAGAAGACUGAGGAAGAGGCAGACCAAGGUGAGAGUCCUUGACUGAGCCUUGAAAGCCCAUCAGAACAAGGGGAAACGCUCUGCUGCCUGUGUAGUUGGUCAUUGAUGAGUCACUAGUGGUUCACAGGCCAUUUGCUGCUUGGCCAGCUCUGAGAAUAGCUCUGCCACUUGGUUUCAGGAUGAAAGAUGAGAAAGCUGCCCCUGUGUGGCUACUUUUUAAGCAAGCCAAGAUAUGUAUAUUGUGGUGGUUAAAAGUAGUACCACAUUUCACCAGCAAAUCUCCUCUGUUUAGCAAAGAUAGUGAUAAGGGUAUACAUUUGUUUUUCCUCCAAGGGUCUCAAUAAACUUGUAAAUAAAGCUUUAUUUUUCUGGUAUAUUCUAAAUAUAGACCAUGGAUGGUAAGAUUUUUAGUUAGUUUUACUUUCUUCUUUAAAUAUUCCUCUACUGUUUGAAUUUUUAAACACAUUGAACAUAUUAUUUUCAUAGCAAAAGAAAGAAAAAAAUACCUAGUCAGUAUUUAAAAUUUUCUGUUGACCCUUAAAAAGAUUAAUAGAUCAGAUCAGACUAAUAACAUUAAAAGUCUCUAUGUGACAACCCUUCUCAAUGCCCAUUGUAAACAAUGUUUAAAGAUAGGUGGCAAGCUGAUAGGGACUGUCAAUUAAUACCUCUGAUACAUGAGGAUAUUUGAUAAAUCAUGAAGAAAUGAUGAGAGAAGGCCCAGAGAUAUAAAUAGACAAUUUACUAUGGAAAUGGGCAUAAACAUGAAAAAAAUGGCUAACCUUUAAAUCAGUGCAGGUUAGAAGAAUAAUUAGCUAUUAGUUUUCAUCUGUUGUGUGGGAAAGUUUAAUUGCUGAUAUUCAUUAUUGGCUAUAGGAAGAGACCAGAGGUAUUCUCAUACAUUCUGUGGGAAUUUAAAUUGGUACAAAUUGAGGGCAAUACCUCUGAAAAUUUUAAAUGAGAAUAUCCCUUGACUCACAUGUUCUAUUUCUGAGCAAUUUCCUAAGGGGGUAACUGUAAAAUUUUACACAGAUUUUGUGAUGAGAUUGCUUGCUGUAGAAUUGCUAAAUUAUAUACAUAAACAUUAAAAAUAGAAUUGAUAAUUAUAAAAUUGAAUGAAAAGGGAUACAGAUUUGAGGGGGAAUAAGAAGCAGUGGAUGUGGGGGACCUUCAGCAAAUACUCGAAACUCAGAUGGUGUUGUUUCUUCAGUUCUGAGAGGCACCGAGUGUUGUCAGGUCUUCCAAUUUUUCAAAAUAAGGCCCAAAUUUGGAUUUUAAUAUGACAUUUUCCACAUUUAAAAAUGUGGGAGUUCCCAUCGUGGUGCAGUGGUUAACGAAUCUGACUAGGUACCAUGAGGUUGCAGGUUCGAUCCCUGGCCUCGCUCAGUGGGUGAAGGAUCUGGCGUUGCUGUGAGCUGUGGUGUAGGUUGCAGACAUGGCUCUGUUGCUGUGGCUCUGGCGUAGGCCGGUGGCUACAGCUGCAAUUCGACCCCUAGCCUAGGAACCUCCAUAUGCCGCGGGAGCGGCCCAAAGAAAUAGCAAAAAAACAAAAAAAAAAAAAAAAUGUGGUCCACUUCAUCAAAUCUGGCCCACAUAGACUUUUUCAACUCUUUUUUUUCUUUUCUUUUCUUUUUUUUUUUUUUAGGGCCACACCCACAGCAUAUGGAAAUUCCCAGGCUAGAGGUCGAAUCGGAGCUGUAGCUGCUGGUCUACACUACAGCCACAGCCACAGCAACACUGGAACCAAGCUCUGUCUGCCAUCUACACCAUAGCUCGUGGCAAUGCUGGAUCUUAACCCACUGAGCGAGGCCACGGAUAGAACCCUCGUCCUCAUGGAUCCUAGUUGGGUUCAUUGACCGCUGAGCCACAAAGGGAACUCCCACUUUUUCAACUCUUGAUGUAUAUCUACCCACUUAAAUAUUUUUCCUCUCAAAAUUUAUGUAAAGCAUGUAUAGAAGGGUAAAAAUAACAUAUAUAUCAUGUUUAAAAAAUAAUCUAAAAAAUCCUGAAUUAUGUUACUACCACCCACCUUGCGAAGUAGAACAUUAAUGAAAUCUGUGUUCUCCCUGGCAAUCACAUUGGAUUUAUUUCCCUUCACCUCCCUUCUGGCAGUUUCUGAAUAGCCUGAGUGGAAAUGGUAUCUGUUCUUGGCACAUAGAAUGUUCUUCAUAAGUGUCUGCUGCUGGUUUAGAGGGAUGAGGGAUGCCUGUUGUCUGGGCCUAUCCACAGAAGUGCAGUCUGCCUCCCUACACACUUUGGUACAUCAAAUUAAGUUCAUAGAGGUAUAAGAAAAUGAUGGUAUUCACGGUAAUACUCAGAGUGACUGCACAUGUGCUCCACUAAUCUCUUUUAAUGCUCGUGACAAUCCUGUAAGAGAGGUACUAUUUUUACUCUCAUUUCAUAGAUGGGGCAAUAGAGGCAUAGAGAGGUCAAGAAAUAUGCACAGGGCCAUAAAGCUAGUUAGUUGCAGAGACAGAAUGCAAAACAAACUCAGUUCCAUUUGAUUCCCCAGCCUGCACUGUAGCCACUAUGAAAUGCAGUCUUCUUUCAGAUCAUUUAAGUCCCUUAGGCAUUAAAGGCUCUCAUUGUCGGAACUGGCAGGGGUUCAACCCCUACCUACCCUGGAGUAGAUUCCCUGGCUUCCUCAGUCAGGGACUCUCCUCUGAACCUCCUGCCUGGAUCACUCACGUGCCCCACAUAUCUUCCUGAUCCUUUUCAUAGACACAUGUCUUGUCUCUCCCUUAUAUUUUCAGGAUCUCGAAGCAGAGGCCAAGGCUUUAACUCUGGGAGGACCAACCAUACUCAGCAAAAUGCCUCCACUAGUAAUCCUUAUACAAGUUAUUUCCUCCCUCGCUUUUGUUUUUUGUUUUCAAAUCCCGACCCCCAUACCACACUUGGUAUAUUGCUAAUUUAUUGCCAACAAACCACCCCCAAAUAUAGUGUCUUAAAAGCACAGCCAUUUUAUUAGCUCAUGAUCUUGUGGUCAGCAAUUUGGGCUGGGAUCCUCUGCUGGUCUUUUCUGGGGUUAUUUGCGCAGUUACAGAACUUUUGGCAUCUGAACUGGGGCUGGAUGAUCUAACAUGGCCUUGCUCAGCAUUGAAGAAGUCUGUCAACUGGUUGGGCUAAGGGGACUCAACAGGACCAACUCUUCUCAAUGGGCCUCUUCUCCUGGUAGGCUAGACUGGACUUCUUCAAUGGGCAAUCUCAGGGAUGUGUUCCAAAAGAUAAAAAGUGGAAGCAUUUACUUUUUCUACAUUCUGUUGGAUACAACAAGUCAAAAGCUAGCCCAGACUCAGUGGAUGGGGAAAUUGAUUCUACAUUUGUUUUUUUUUUUAACUUUUUGAUCCUCUUUAGCCAUUUCUCCCCUGCCACCCCUACCCAACCAAUCUGUUCUCUGUAUCUUCAUCUAUGAGCUUUUCUUCUGAGUAUAAUGCCCUUGAGGUCCAUCCAUAUUGACAGAAAUGGAAAGAUUUCAUUCUUUUUUAUUGCUGUUUAAUGUUUUAUAACAUUCCAUUGUAUAUGUAUACAACAUUUUCUUUAUCCAUUCCUCCACUGAUGGACACUUAUGCUGUUUCCACAUGUUGAUUGUUGUAAAUAAUGCUGCAAUGAGCAAGGGAGUGCUUACACUAGUCUUCCUUUAUCUAUGGUUUUACUUUACGGGGUUUCAGUUAUAGUUUUCAGUUAUGCUUUAAGGUUUCGAUGGUCAACUAUAUUCUGAAAGUAUAAAAUGGAAAAUUCCAGAAGUAAAUGAUUCAUAAAUUUUAAAUUGCAUACUGUUCUGAGUAGCAUGAUGAAAUCUUGCGCAGUCCUGCUCCAUCCUUCUGAGAUGUGGAUCAUCCCUGAGUCUAGCAUAUCCCAUCUGUUAGACAGUAGCCUUUUCUUGACAGAUAUGAUUUGCAAGUAUUUUCCAUUCAGUAGGCUGCUUUUUAAUUUUGUUGAUGCUUUCCUUGAAGCAUCCAGAAGCUUUUUAGUUUGAUGUAAUCCCACUUGUAUAUUUUGCUUUUAGUUUUGAUGUCAGCUUAAAAAGAACUUCACCAAGACUCCUGUCAAGGAGCUUCCUGCCUAUGUUUGAUAGGAGUUUUAUGGUUUCAGGUCCUACAUUCAAAUCUGUAAUCCAUUUUGAAUUUUUGUGUUUGAUGUAAGAUAAUAGUCAAGUCUCAUUCUUUUGCAUGUGGCUAUUCAGUUCCCCAAUACCACUUUUGAAGAGACUGCCUUUUCUCCGUUUUAUGUUCUUGGCUCUUUGGUCAUAGAUUAAUUGACCACAUACUUUUUGGGCUCUCUCUUCUUUUCCAUUAAUCUAUAUGUCUGUUUUUAGCCAAUACCAUACUAUUUUAAUUACUAUGGCUUUGUAAUAUCAUUUUAAAUUGGGGAGCAUUAUGACUACAUCUUUUUUUUUUCUUUAUCAAGAUUGCUUUGGCUCUUUGGGGUCUUUUGUGGUUCCAUGUACAUUUUAAGAUUAUUUGUUCUAUUUCUCAAAAAACUAAAAAUAGAACUACCAUAUGACCCAACAGUUCCACUCCCAGAUCAAUAUAUAUGAAAAACAAAAUGAAAGAAAACAAAACACUGCUUUGAAAAGAUGCAAGCAGCCCAAUGUUCAUAGCAGCACUAUUUGUAAUAUCCAAGUCAUGGAAACAACCUAAAUGUCCAUUGACAGAUGAAUGAUAAGGAAGAUGUGAAAAAAGGAAUGAAAUAAUGCCAUUUGCAGCAACAUGGAUAGACCCAGGGAUUAUCAUAUUAGGUGAAGUAAGAGAAAGACAAACAUCAUAUGAUAUCACUUAUAUGUAGAAUCUAAAAAAAUGGUACAAAUGUACUUACAAAACAGAAAUAGACUCACAGACAUAGAAAACAAACACAGGGUUAGCAAAGGGGAUAGCAAGGGCAGGAGGCAUGUAAAUUAGGAUUUGGGGAUUAACAUAUACAUAUUAUUUAUAUAUAAAAUAGAUAUAAACAAUAAGUAUGUACCAUAUAAUACAGGAAACUAUAUUUAAUAUCUUGUAAUAACCUACAAUGGAAAAGAAUUUGAAAAAGAAUAUGUAUAUAUAUAAUGCGUACAAAUAACUGAACCACUUUGGUGUAUACUUGAAACUAAUAUGUUUACAAAUAACUGAACCACUUUGGUGUAUACUUGAAACUAAUACAACAUUGUAAAUUAAUUAUACUUCAGUAAAAAAUGCUUGGCUGAAAUAAAGUAAGUCUACUAUAUGAUCUGGUGAUUGCACUUCCAGGUAUAUGCCAAAAGAAUUGAAAGCAGAGGUCAAAGAGAUAUUGGUACACUCAUGUACAUAGCAGCAUUAAUAAAAAUAGAUAAAAGGUGGAAGUAACCCAAGUGUCCAUCUGAAAAUGAAUGUAUAAACUAAAUGUCAUAUAGAUAUUUUGGAAUAUUAUUCAGCUUAAAAAAGAAAGGAAGGAGUUCCCAUUGUGGCUCAGUGGUUAACGAAUCGCACUAGGAACCAUGAGGUUGUGGGUUCAAUCUCUGGCCUUGCUCACUGGGUUAAGGACCCGGCAUUGCUGUGAGCUGUGGUGUAGGUUGCAGACAUGGUUCGGAUCCUGUGUUGCUGUGGCUCUGGCAUAGGCUGGUGGCUACAGCUCUGAUUUGACCCCUAGCCUGGGAACCUCCAUAUGCUGCAGGAAUGGCCCCCAAAUCGGCAAAAAGACCAAAAGAAAAAAAAAAAA
rnacentral:lncRNA from 1 species